UGCUGGGGGAUUAGUGGCGAACGGGUGAGUAACACGUGAGUAACCUGCCCUUGACUCUGGGAUAAGCCUGGGAAACUGGGUCUAAUACCGGAUACGACCAUCUGGCGCAUGUCAUGGUGGUGGAAAGCUUUUGUGGUUUUGGAUGGACUCGCGGCCUAUCAGCUUGUUGGUGGGGUAAUGGCCUACCAAGGCGACGACGGGUAGCCGGCCUGAGAGGGUGACCGGCCACACUGGGACUGAGACACGGCCCAGACUCCUACGGGAGGCAGCAGUGGGGAAUAUUGCACAAUGGGCGCAAGCCUGAUGCAGCGACGCCGCGUGAGGGAUGACGGCCUUCGGGUUGUAAACCUCUUUCAGUAGGGAAGAAGCGAAAGUGACGGUACCUGCAGAAGAAGCGCCGGCUAACUACGUGCCAGCAGCCGCGGUAAUACGUAGGGCGCAAGCGUUAUCCGGAAUUAUUGGGCGUAAAGAGCUCGUAGGCGGUUUGUCGCGUCUGCUGUGAAAGACCGGGGCUCAACUCCGGUUCUGCAGUGGGUACGGGCAGACUAGAGUGCAGUAGGGGAGACUGGAAUUCCUGGUGUAGCGGUGAAAUGCGCAGAUAUCAGGAGGAACACCGAUGGCGAAGGCAGGUCUCUGGGCUGUAACUGACGCUGAGGAGCGAAAGCAUGGGGAGCGAACAGGAUUAGAUACCCUGGUAGUCCAUGCCGUAAACGUUGGGCACUAGGUGUGGGGG
rnacentral:rRNA from 1 species